rnacentral:rRNA from 1 species
AACGAACGCUGGCGGCAGGCCUAACACAUGCAAGUCGAACGCUCGUAGCAAUACGGGAGUGGCAGACGGGUGAGUAACGCGUGGGAACGUACCCUUUGGUUCGGAACAACUCCGGGAAACUGGAGCUAAUACCGGAUGAGCCCUACGGGGGAAAGAUUUAUCGCCGAAGGAUCGGCCCGCGUCGGAUUAGCUAGUUGGUGAGGUAACGGCUCACCAAGGCAACGAUCCGUAGCUGGUCUGAGAGGAUGAUCAGCCACACUGGGACUGAGACACGGCCCAGACUCCUACGGGAGGCAG